rnacentral:misc_RNA from 1 species
GAUCAUUUAGUGAAAGCAAGGGCCAGCCAUACGGACGGCGCUACUCGCGUACAACGUCUCUGGCGCCCAACUUUACACAAUAUCCACAAACCCGUGUGCACCGUUUGGAUGAGUAGGCCUCCUCGCGAGGCAGACUCUCCAAUCCAUUUCUACCAAACUCGUAUGGUUGUAUGAACGUGGAAAUCGUUGGACCGUAACUGGCCAACAACCAAUAAUACAACUUUCGACAACGGAUCUCUUGGUUCUCCCAUCGAUGAAGAACGCAGCGAAACGCGAUAGGUAAUGUGAAUUGCAGAAUUCCGUGAAUCAUCGAAUCUUUGAACGCACCUUGCGCUCCAUGGUAUUCCGUGGAGCAUGCCUGUUUGAGUGCCGUGAAUUCUCUCUCCCCAAGCGGUUGCGAUUGCACUGCUUUGGCGGACGAGGUUGGAUGGGUGCUUCUGCCUGUUUCGCAAGAAACAGGCUCGCCCGAAAUGCAUUAGCGCCUUUGGGACACACUCUGCAAACCGCUCUGAAAGGGAGGGCGGCAGAGGGGAUGGAGGAACUCCGCCCGUCAGCUAUACCAAACUUUGCCCCAGGCAAGCGCAUGGCAUGAUACGUCAUUUGCUAUGUGUGCGU